UCCUCCGCUUAUUGAUAUGCUUAAGUUCAGCGGGUAGUCCUACCUGAUUUGAGGUCAGAGUCAAAAAUUGCCCGAGGGCGAUUGUAAGCAGUCAUCACAACCUUCACCGACGAAACUUAUUACGCCGACUACGGUGCUAUCCCGCUAAGUCUUUUAAGGCGAGCCGGCAGAGCGGCAACACCCAAGUCCAAUCUCCUCGGAAACCCGAGGGAUUGAGUCUACAUGACACUCAAACAGGCAUGCCCUCCGGAAUACCAGAGGGCGCAAGGUGCGUUCAAAGAUUCGAUGAUUCACUGAAUUCUGCAAUUCACAUUACUUAUCGCAUUUCGCUGCGUUCUUCAUCGAUGCGAGAGCCAAGAGAUCCGUUGUUGAAAGUUUUGUUUUGUUAUGAUAUAUGACGUUCAUUACACCAUGUUUGUAAAAUAGCCCCGAAGGGCACGGUUCACAGAGGUUUGGAAUAGUUAUAAGCCCGUGAGGGCGUUCACUAAUGAUCCUUCCGCAGGUUCACCUACGGAAACCUUGUUACGACUUUUACUUCCUCUAAAUGACCAAG
rnacentral:misc_RNA from 1 species